rnacentral:tRNA from 1 species
AGCAGUGUGGCAUAGUGGAAAGUGUUGGAUUUGUAGUUAAAGGACUUGGGUUCAGAUCCCUGCUCUGUUA